UGCCUAGCAACUUCUAUCCCUACCUCCUCGCGGUACUGGCCGGGGUACGAGCAACCUAAGGAAAGAUCGGGUAACUAACCCCGGUAGGAACUUUAGCCUAUACUGAUACGGAAGG
rnacentral:ribozyme from 1 species